rnacentral:rRNA from 1 species
UACAUGGGGUGCAAACGUUGCUCGGAAUUAUUGGGCGUAAAGCGCACGUAGGCGGUUCGUUAAGUCGGAUGUGAAAGCCCUCGGCUCAACUGAGGAAGUGCACCCGAAACUGGCGAGCUCGAGUACGAAAGAGGAUCGCGGAAUUCCCGGUGUAGAGGUGAAAUUCGUAGAUAUCGGGAGGAACACCGGCGGCGAAGGCGGCGAUCUGGGUCGAUACUGACGCUGAGGUGCGAAAGCGUGGGGAGCAAACAGG